CCUUCUUUGUGGCUCCGGAAGAGGAUUGUGAAGUUUAGGUUUCGUGGAAGAAACCGUAAUCGGCCAGAUUUUCUUGGUGGUGGUGGGAAGGGGUGGGGGGUGGGGGGUGCAUGGACGCUGUGGCCAAAGGAGCUAACAGACGAAAGGUCAAUGAAUGAAAAACCUAGAGGCAUACAGGCCAAACAGAAAAACCUACAGAGAGCAUCCAAGAGUCCCCCGUUACCUCCCAACUUGCUACUUAAACCACAGCUGAAGAAGUUGGCAAAAUGUUACAGGCUCUUAUGAGUGAGAAAAUGGUAUUUAAACUUAAGACAUAUCAAGGGGGAGACAGGAACCUGGGCAGUGGACAAAAAGGCCAGGGAAGGGUCUUCAGUGUCCUUGUCCUUGUCCUUCUUCCCUUGGGGGAAAUUUGGCAGUCAGCAGCCUUGCUCUGCUAUCUAAAUUGGACCACCAGGACAAGAUAAAAUUGAUAACAGAAAGUUUAUUCAAGAAUUGUUUGACAGACAACCCUUUUAGGUAAGGAAAAAAGUAACUACUGAAGAACAAAGAAAGUUCCAAGAGGGAAUUAACUCUAGUUCUACAAAUUCAGGACUAUACAGUGACGAUUAGGAGCUGAGUUCAUGCCUUUUAGAACUAAUUACAAUUGUUCGAUAAUUGAGGAAAAAAAAAAAUCAAGAUUUGGGGGGAAUUACCUACAAAGAUGUAAGGUGUGUUAAUUUGGGCGCUUCUUGGAUUCUACCCUGAGGAGGAGGCGCGUGGUGAGAGGAGAGCUCCACCAGCUGCGCGCUCGUGUACGCCGUCCGCGCCCGCUUGG
rnacentral:lncRNA from 1 species